CUUCGUUUGGGCUCUUAGACCCAAUUCUCAACAUUUUCGAACACCAACCCCCUUGCCGGAAACGGCGAUUUUUACGGCGGCGGAGAAGCAACACGGCGGAGGGAACGAAGGAGCGUGGUAUGGGGCAUUACGGCGGCAAAGAUGCAGGCCCCCCAAAUGCGAUGUGUAUGGGGCAUCACGGCGGUGCUAUUGUCACAGUGGCGGUGCUCCGCGGCGGCGAAAAACGCUGUAACGGCGGAGGAAGAAGAAAACAUAGGGAAGAGGAUAAAGAUAGUAUCAAUGUAACUUCACUGGCAUACCAUGAAAAGUGGCUCAGAUUACACUUCACCCUCACGUUCUCACCUUCACCAUUGACCAUACACAUUCUUCAUUGUUAGCAUUUCCAUGCCUGCACACUCUCAUUUGGACCUCACCAUUCACACACACACACACACCCUUGAGCCAACUCUUCAACCUUUGAUCCAUAAUGGGUCUGUUGAAGAUUUUGGCUCAAGGGUUUGCCCACAUUUUGAGGCUAAAAAGAUUGGCAUGCCUCCUUGGUCUGAGGAUCCUAAAGACCAGGAUAAGCACAACUUGUUGCAGAAAUCUGAGGUUAAGUUUGUGAACCAAGUGAUGGGACCGGAGAGCAUUGUAUUUGAUCCUCUUGGUCGCGGCCCUUAUGUCGGUAUCGCGGAUGGAAGAAUCUUGUUCUGGAAUGGACACUCUUGGGAUAACUUUGCCUAUACCUCCCCUAACAGGUCAGCAAUAUGUAAUCCUUUAGCAUCUGCGACACCGCUUAGUUAUGUGAGGACUGAGCAUAUCUGUGGAAGGCCUUUGGGACUCAGAUUUCACGAGAAAACAGGAACUUCCUUCAGUUGGUAUUUUCAGGGGAUGACACUGGCAAGGUUUUGAAAUACAAUCCUGCCACUAAGGAAACCUCUGUUCUUCUGAGGAACAUUCAAUUUCCAAAUGGAAUUUCGUUAAGCAAGGAUGGCUCCUUCUUUGUCUUUUGUGAAGCAGGCUACUGGCAGGCUGCGUAAAUACUGGCUGAAAGGAGAGAAGGCUGGGACUUCAGAGAUCUUAGCCAUCUUACCUGGAUCUCCAGACAAUGUGAGAGUCAAUGAAAAUGGUGAUUUUUGGGUGGCUCUUCAUUGUAGGAGGAGUACGUAUG